rnacentral:rRNA from 1 species
UGGGGAAUAUUGCGCAAUGGGGGAAACCCUGACGCAGCGACGCCGCGUGCGGGAUGAAGGCCUUCGGGUUGUAAACCGCUUUUGAUUGGGAGCAAGCUUUCGGGUGAGUGUACCUUUCGAAUAAGCGCCGGCUAACUACGUGCCAGCAGCCGCGGUAAUACGUAGGGCGCAAGCGUUAUCCGGAAUUAUUGGGCGUAAAGCGCGCGUAGGCGGUUUUUUAAGUCUGAUGUGAAAGUCCACGGCUCAACCGUGGAGGGUCAUUGGAAACUGGAAAACUUGAGUGCAGAAGAGGAAAGUGGAAUUCCAUGUGUAGCGGUGAAAUGCGCAGAGAUAUGGAGGAACACCAGUGGCGAAGGCGACUUUCUGGUCUGUAACUGACGCUGAUGUGCGAAAGCGUGGGAAUCAAACAGG